rnacentral:rRNA from 1 species
AUUGAACGCUGGCGGCAUGCCUUACACAUGCAAGUCGAACGGCAGCAUAGGAGCUUGCUCCUGAUGGCGAGUGGCGAACGGGUGAGUAAUAUAUCGGAACGUGCCCUAGAGUGGGGGAUAACUAGUCGAAAGACUAGCUAAUACCGCAUACGAUCUACGGAUGAAAGUGGGGGAUCGCAAGACCUCAUGCUCUUGGAGCGGCCGAUAUCUGAUUAGCUAGUUGGUGGGGUAAAAGCCUACCAAGGCAACGAUCAGUAGCUGGUCUGAGAGGACGACCAACCACACUGGGACUGAGACACGGCCCAGACUCCUACGGGAGGCAGCAGUGGGGAAUUUUGGACAAUGGGGGCAACCCUGAUCCAGCAAUGCCGCGUGAGUGAAGAAGGCCUUCGGGUUGUAAAGCUCUUUUGUCAGGGAAGAAACGGUAGUAGCUAAUAUCUAUUACUAAUGACGGUACCUGAAGAAUAAGCACCGGCUAACUACGUGCCAGCCGCCGCCGUAACAC